rnacentral:rRNA from 1 species
CGACGAAUCUUCCGCAAUGGGCGAAAGCCUGACGGAGCGAUGCCGCGUGUGGGAUGAAGCGCCUUUGGUGUGUAAACCACUGUCAGGAGAUAGAAACACUGAUCAUCUCCAGAGGAAGGGGCGACUAACUCUGUGCCAGCAGUCGCGGUAAUACAGAGGCCCCGAGCGUUAAUCGGAAUCACUGGGCUUAAAGGGUGCGUAGGCGGACUCGUAAGUGUCGUGUGAAAGCCCACUGCUUAACGGUGGAACCGCACGGCAAACUGCAAGUCUCGAGGAAGGUAGAGGCCGGUAGAACGAUUGGUGGAGCGGUGGAAUGCGUAGAUAUCAAUCGGAAUGCCAAAGGUGAAGACAGCCGGCUGGGCCUUUCCUGACGCUGAGGCACGAAAGCUAGGGGAGCAAACGGGAUUAGAUACCCUCGUAGUCCCUGAGCGGGCUGGCAAGGCGCAU